GACGAACGCUGGCGGCGUGCUUAACACAUGCAAGUCGAACGGAAAGGCCCUGCUUUUGUGGGGUGCUCGAGUGGCGAACGGGUGAGUAACACGUGAGUAACCUGCCCUUGACUUUGGGAUAACUUCAGGAAACUGGGGCUAAUACCGGAUAGGAGCUCCUGCUGCAUGGUGGGGGUUGGAAAGUUUCGGCGGUUGGGGAUGGACUCGCGGCUUAUCAGCUUGUUGGUGGGGUAGUGGCUUACCAAGGCUUUGACGGGUAGCCGGCCUGAGAGGGUGACCGGCCCACUUGGACUGAGAUAAGGGCCCGACUCCUUCGGGGGGGCAGAGGUGGGAAUUUUGGCAAAAGGGCCGGAGGCCGAAUGAGGCAACGCCGCGUGCGGAAUGCCGGCCUUCGGGUUGAAACCCCCUUUCGCCUGUAACGAGGCGUGGGUGCCGGUAAUGGGUAAAGAAGCACCGGCUACCUCCGU
rnacentral:rRNA from 1 species